rnacentral:rRNA from 1 species
CUUUUGCUUGGAUUAUUUCGGACAAGCAGUCCCAUUUGUGGAUUGCCGCCCGCAAAUUCAUAGGCAGUAUGGUCUUCGUUCCCCCCUUCGUUUCCAAUGCUGAGCGUAAUAACUUUAAAAACGAUCACGCCCAUACCAAGUUUGGAAAAGUGAAGAGAAUGAUCAUCGUACUCGCCCCAACAACCCACCCCACUUCAACAUGGUUUUUUUUCACGAAAAUCAUUCCGGGUGACCUCAGAUCAGGUAGGGAUACCCGCUGAACUUAAGCAUAUCAAUAAGCGGAGGAAAAGAAACCAACAGGGAUUGCCUCAGUAACGGCGAGUGAAGCGGCAAAAGCUCAGAUUUGGAAUCUGGCGUCACCUUCUGGCGUCCGAGUUGUAAUCUGCAGAGGGGCAUUCGAGUGUGGCGAUGGCUUAAGUUUCUUGGAACAGGACGUCAUAGAGGGUGAGAACCCCGUUAACGGCCCUUUGUCUUAUGCUCAUGUGAAUCUCCUUCGACGAGUCGAGUUGUUUGGGAAUGCAGCUCUAAAUGGGUGGUAAAUUCCAUCUAAAGCUAAAUACUGGCAAGAGACCGAUAGCGCACAAGUAGAGUGAUCGAAAGAUGAAAAGAACUCUGAACAGAGAGUCAAAUAGUACGUGAAAUUGUUGAAAGGGAAGCACUUGCUACCAGACACGCCUGCGGUCGAUCAGCCUUCACUCUGUGAUGGUGCACUCGGCCUGCAUUGGUGGGUCAGCAUCAGUUGUGGCGGCGGGAUAAAGGCCUGGGGAAUGUGGCUUCUCUCGGGAAGUGUUAUAGCCCUGCGGCGCAAUACCGCCUGCACGCGA